rnacentral:rRNA from 1 species
GAUGAACGCUGGCGGUGUGCCUAAUACAUGCAAGUCGAACGAAGUCUUCGGACUUAGUGGCGAACGGGUGAGUAACACGUUGGUACCUACCCUCUAGUGGGGAAUAACUGCCCGAAAGGGUGGCUAAUACCGCAUAAUACCGCAAGGUUAAAGCAGUAAUGCGCUAGAGGAGGGGCCUGCGUCUGAUUAGCUAGUUGGUUGGGUAAUGGCUGACCAAGGCUGUGAUCGGUAGCNGGUCUGAGAGGAUGAUCAGCCACACUGGGACUGAGACACGGCCCAGACUCCUACGGGAGGCAGCAGUGGGGAAUAUUGGACAAUGGGCGCAAGCCUGAUCCAGCAAUGCCGCGUGGAUGAAGAAGGUUUUCGGAUUGUAAAGUCCUUUCGGCGGGGACGAUGAUGACGGUACCCGCAGAAGAAAGCCCCGGCUAACUUCGUGCCAGCAGCCGCAGU